AUUGAACGCUGGCGGCAGGCCUAACACAUGCAAGUCGAACGAGUGGCGGACGGGUGAGUAAUGUCUGGGAAACUGCCCGAUGGAGGGGGAUAACUACUGGAAACGGUAGCUAAUACCGCAUACCAUCGGAUGUGCCCAGAUGGGAUUAGCUAGUAGGUGGGGGAACGGCUCACCUAGGAGACGAUCCCUAGCGGGUCUGAGAGGAUGACCGGCCACACGGGAACUGAGACACGGUCCAGACUCCUACGGGAGGCAGCAGUGGGGAAUCUUGCAUAAUGGGCGAAAGCCUGAUGAAGCAAUGCCGGGUGUAUGAAGAAGGCCUUCGGUUUGUAAAGUACUUUCAGCGAGGAGGCGUUACUCGCAGAAGAAGCAACGGCUAACUCCGUGCCAGCCGCCGCGGUAAUAC
rnacentral:rRNA from 1 species